rnacentral:rRNA from 1 species
UCCAUCUGGAAGAAUCUGGAGACAGGUGCUGCACGGCUGUCGUCAGCUCGUGUCGUGAGAUGUUGGGUUAAGUCCCGCAACGAGCGCAACCCUUGCCUUUAGUUGCCAGCAGUUCGGCUGGGCACUCUAAAGGGACUGCCGGUGUUAAACCGGAGGAAGGUGGGGAUGACGUCAAGUCCUCAUGGCCUUUAUGACCAGGGCUACACACGUACUACAAUGGCCGAUACAAAGGGCAGCGACACUGCGAGGUGAAGCCAAUCCCGUAAAAUCGGUCUCAGUCCGGAUUGGAGUCUGCAACUCGACUCCAUGAAGUUGGAAUCGCUAGUAAUUGUGGAUCAGCAUGCCACGGUGAAUACGUUCCCGGGCCUU